rnacentral:rRNA from 1 species
GGGUUGUGAGGUUAAGCGACUAAGCGUACACGGUGGAUGCCCUGGCAGUCAGAGGCGAUGAAGGACGUGCUAAUCUGCGAUAAGCGUCGGUAAGGUGAUAUGAACCGUUAUAACCGGCGAUUUCCGAAUGGGGAAACCCAGUGUGAUUCGUCACACUAUCAUUAACUGAAUCCAUAGGUUAAUGAGGCGAACCGGGGGAACUGAAACAUCUAAGUACCCCGAGGAAAAGAAAUCAACCGAGAUUCCCCCAGUAGCGGCGAGCGAACGGGGAGCAGCCCAGAGCCUGAAUCAGUGUGUGUGUUAGUGGAAGCGUCUGGAAAGGCGUGCGAUACAGGGUGACAGCCCCGUACACAAAAAUGCACAUACUGUGAGCUCGAUGAGUAGGGCGGGACACGUGGUAUCCUGUCUGAAUAUGGGGGGACCAUCCUCCAAGGCUAAAUACUCCUGACUGACCGAUAGUGAACCAGUACCGUGAGGGAAAGGCGAAAAGAACCCCGGCGAGGGGAGUGAAAAAGAACCUGAAACCGUGUACGUACAAGCAGUGGGAGCACGCUUAGGCGUGUGACUGCGUACCUUUUGUAUAAUGGGUCAGCGACUUAUAUUCUGUAGCAAGGUUAACCGAAUAGGGGAGCCGAAGGGAAACCGAGUCUUAACUGGGCGUUAAGUUGCAGGGUAUAGACCCGAAACCCGGUGAUCUAGCCAUGGGCAGGUUGAAGGUUGGGUAACACUAACUGGAGGACCGAACCGACUAAUGUUGAAAAAUUAGCGGAUGACUUGUGGCUGGGGGUGAAAGGCCAAUCAAACCGGGAGAUAGCUGGUUCUCCCCGAAAGCUAUUUAGGUAGCGCCUCGUGAAUUCAUCUCCGGGGGUAGAGCACUGUUUCGGCAAGGGGGUCAUCCCGACUUACCAACCCGAUGCAAACUGCGAAUACCGGAGAAUGUUAUCACGGGAGACACACGGCGGGUGCUAACGUCCGUCGUGAAGAGGGAAACAACCCAGACCGCCAGCUAAGGUCCCAAAGUCAUGGUUAAGUGGGAAACGAUGUGGGAAGGCCCAGACAGCCAGGAUGUUGGCUUAGAAGCAGCCAUCAUUUAAAGAAAGCGUAAUAGCUCACUGGUCGAGUCGGCCUGCGCGGAAGAUGUAACGGGGCUAAACCAUGCACCGAAGCUGCGGCAGCGACGCUUAUGCGUUGUUGGGUAGGGGAGCGUUCUGUAAGCCUGUGAAGGUGUGCUGUGAGGUAUGCUGGAGGUAUCAGAAGUGCGAAUGCUGACAUAAGUAACGAUAAAGCGGGUGAAAAGCCCGCUCGCCGGAAGACCAAGGGUUCCUGUCCAACGUUAAUCGGGG